UUCGUCCUACGGGAGGCAGCAGUGGGGAAUAUUGCACAAUGGGGGAAACCCUGAUGCAGCGACGCCGCGUGGGCGACGAAGCGCUCCGGCGCGUAAAGCCCUGUCAGCAGGGAAGAAAAAAGACAGUACCUGACCAAGAAGCCCCGGCUAACUACGUGCCAGCAGCCGCGGUAAUACGUAGGGGGCAAGCGUUAUCCGGAUUUACUGGGUGUAAAGGGAGCGUAGGUGGCAAGGCAAGUCAGAUGUGAAAACCCGGGGCCCAACCCCGGGAGUGCAUUUGAAACUGUCUGGCUAGAGUGCAGGAG
rnacentral:rRNA from 1 species